rnacentral:rRNA from 1 species
GAUGAACGCUGGCGGCGUGCCUAAUACAUGCAAGUCGAGCGAAUGGAUUAAGAGCUUGCUCUUAUGAAGUUAGCGGCGGACGGGUGAGUAACACGUGGGUAACCUGCCCAUAAGACUGGGAUAACUCCGGGAAACCGGGGCUAAUACCGGAUAACAUUUUGAACCGCAUGGUUCGAAAUUGAAAGGCGGCUUCGGCUGUCACUUGUGGAUGGACCCGCGUCGCAUUAGCUAGUUGGUGAGGUAACGGCUCACCAAGGCAACGAUGCGUAGCCGACCGGGGAGGGGGAUCGGCCACACUGGGACUGAGAAACGGCCCAGACUCCUACGGGAGGAAGCAGUAGGGAAUCUUCCGCAAUGGACGAAAGUCUGACGGAGCAACGCCGCGUGAGUGAUGAAGGCUUUCGGGUCGUAAAACUCUGUUGUUAGGGAAGAACAAGUGCUAGUUGAAUAAGCUGGCACCUUGACGGUACCUAACCAGAAAGCCACGGCUAACUACGUGCCAGCCGCCGCGGUAA